AUUGAACGCUGGCGGCAGGCCUAACACAUGCGAGUCGAGCGGAUGAAGGGAGCUUGCUCCUGGAUUCAGCGGCGGACGGGUGAGUAAUGCCUAGGAAUCUGCCUGGUAGUGGGGGAUAACGUCCGGAAACGGGCGCUAAUACCGCAUACGUCCUGAGGGAGAAAGUGGGGGAUCUUCGGACCUCACGCUAUCAGAUGAGCCUAGGUCGGAUUAGCUAGUUGGUGGGGUAAAGGCCUACCAAGGCGACGAUCCGUAACUGGUCUGAGAGGAUGGUCAGUCACACUGGAACUGAGACACGGUCCAGACUCCUACGGGAGGCAGCAGUGGGGAAUAUUGGACAAUGGGCGAAAGCCUGAUCCAGCCAUGCCGCGUGUGUGAAGAAGGUCUUCGGAUUGUAAAGCACUUUAAGUUGGGAGGAAGGGCAGUAAGUUAAUACCUUGCUGUUUUGACGUUACCAACAGAAUAAGCACCGGCUAACUUCGUG
rnacentral:rRNA from 1 species